CGAGCGAAUCGAUGGGAGCUUGCUCCCUGAGAUUAGCGGCGGACGGGUGAGUAACACGUGGGCAACCUGCCUAUAAGACUGGGAUAACUUCGGGAAACCGGAGCUAAUACCGGAUACGUUCUUUUCUCGCAUGAGAGAAGAUGGAAAGACGGUUUACGCUGUCACUUAUAGAUGGGCCCGCGGCGCAUUAGCUAGUUGGUGAGGUAAUGGCUCACCAAGGCGACGAUGCGUAGCCGACCUGAGAGGGUGAUCGGCCACACUGGGACUGAGACACGGCCCAGACUCCUACGGGAGGCAGCAGUAGGGAAUCUUCCGCAAUGGACGAAAGUCUGACGGAGCAACGCCGCGUGAACGAAGAAGGCCUUCGGGUCGUAAAGUUCUGUUGUUAGGGAAGAACAAGUACCAGAGUAACUGCUGGUACCUUGACGGUACCUAACCAGAAAGCCACGGCUAACUACGUGCCAGCAGCCGCGGUAAUACGGAGGUGGCAAGCGUUGUCCGGAAUUAUUGGGCGUAAAGCGCGCGCAGGUGGUUCCUUAAGUCUGAUGUGAAAGC
rnacentral:rRNA from 1 species